rnacentral:rRNA from 1 species
GAAAGGUUUGGUCCUAGCCUUAUUAUCAGUUUUUUCUUGAAUUACACAUGCAAGUCUCAGCAUACCCGUGAGGACACCCUUAAACCCUCAACCAGACUAAGGAGCCGGCAUCAGGCGCAAUAUCUGCCCACAACGCCUAGUCCCACCACGCCCCCAAGGGCAUUCAGCAGUGAUAGAUAUUGCUAAUAAGCGACAGCUUGACCCAGUUAAAGAAGAUAGAGCCGGCCAACUCGGUGCCAGCCGCCGCGGCUAAACCGCACGGGCUCAAACUGAUAGUUACCGGCGUUAAGCGUGAUUAAAGUCCCCCCACAAUUAGAGUAGAACCUAUACUUAGCUGUGAAAAGCUUGAACCAGGGAAGAACCAUAAACGAAAGUUACUCUAAUAAAUCACUUGAAUACACGACAGCUAGA